rnacentral:sRNA from 1 species
AUUUUUAAUAAAUUGCAGAUAUUUAAUUAAUUGUAUAUUAUUAUGUUUUGUGUAGAUAUAUAUAUACUAUGUCUGUAAGAUAUUAAAAUGUUAAUGCAGCUCAAUGGUUGAAUAUCCUCUAUUAGUCCAGAAUGUCAGCAUUUCGAUUCACUUGAAAUGGAAUCGAAAUGCUGUUUUCUUUCUCAUUUUCUAAUUUUCAAAACGACGUCGUUUUGAUAUAAGAGAGAUUCUAACGGAAAGUUAACUCCGUGAUUGUUUGGUUGACGGAAACUUAAUGACAUGCCCUAAAUGGUCAAGUCAACAAUUUUUGAUUAUUUUAUCAAAAGUCAAACUAAACUUUAGGAUUUAAUUGUCUUCUUGAAACUUCAUACUUUUUUCGUCCCAAAUUUGAAAGUUCGCGAUUUUUUUGACAUUUUUCCCAUUUUUUUAUACU